rnacentral:rRNA from 4 species
CGGAUUGGAGUCUGCAACUCGACUCCAUGAAGUCGGAAUCGCUAGUAAUCGUGGAUCAGAAUGCCACGGUGAAUACGUUCCCGGGCCUUGUACACACCGCCCGUCACACCAUGGGAGUGGGUUGCAAAAGAAGUAGGUAGCUUAACCUUCGGGAGGGCGCUUACCACUUUGUGAUUCAUGACUGGGGUGAAGUCGUAACAAGGUAACCGUAGGGGAACCUGCGGUUGGA